rnacentral:rRNA from 1 species
AAAUGAAUUGACGGGGACCCGCACAAGCAGCGGAGCAUGUGGUUUAAUUCGAAGAUACGCGAAAAACCUUACCAGGACUUGACAUCCUUUGACAGGCCGGGAAACCGGUUUUUGAUAGCAAUAUUACAAAGUGACAGAUGGUGCAUGGUUGUCGUCAGCUCGUGUCGUGAGAUGUUCGGUUAAGUCCGUCAACGAGCGCAACCCCUGCUUUCAGUUGCCAGCAUUAAGUUGGGCACUCUGGAGGGACUGCCGUAGUUAAUACGGAGGAAGGUGGGGAUGACGUCAAAUCAUCAUGCCUCUUACGUUCUGGGCUACACACGUGCUACAAUGGUGACUACAAACAGUUGCAAUAUGGUAACAUGGAGCCAACCUGAAAAAAGUCAUCUCAAUUCGGAUUGAGGGCUGAAACCCGCCCUCAUGAAGUCGGAGUUGCUAGUAAUCCCGAAUCAGCAUGUCGGGGUGAAUGCGUUCCCGGGUCUUGUACACACCGCCCGU